rnacentral:sRNA from 1 species
AUGCCUGUUGAGGGGAGACGAAGUGGAUAUGGGCGUCGAUUCCGCCGGCCGUGAGGAUCUUUCCUUCCCCGGAUAUCACCUCGGUGCCGGGACCGAUAACUAGACCGGGGGUUACGCCCUCCUGGACAUCGGGAUUGCCCGCCUUACCCAGGACCACGAUGCGGCCAUCCUUGAUCCCCACAUCCGCUUUGACCACGCCCCAGUAAUCCAGGACGAUCACGUUCGUGAUCACCGAAUCCAGGGCUCCUUGCUCCCGGCUCAGCUGGGACUGGCCUAUCCCAU